AAAACUAUAUUUAACUAAAAUGCAAGUGUUCUUUGAGGUCUUUGACUUGUAAUGAAUAUAGGCUAACUCUCACUUCGAGAGGAUUUACAAUGUGUUAUCUUCGCUUUCCCAAUUGAUUUGAAUUUCAAUUGAGAACAUAUGCCUUAAUCUUUUAAGUGGGUUGUUUGUGAACACUUUGUAAGCCCUUAAGCUUUGAUGAUAAAAUAACAUAAUAUGAGAACAACUAGGCUACUAUAAUGUAAUGUGUGUUUAAGUGUGAAAGAAAUUCUAGAAAUGCAUUUGUUGCACAGAUAUGUGAAAAAAGAUGUUCAUGUACCGAGUAUAAGAAGUUUUACAAGCGUAAGGUAGAUGAUUCGGUUAAACGUGAGUGUUUGUUUCGUGUGAGAGGUUAUUUGUUGCUUGCUUAUUAUUG
rnacentral:lncRNA from 1 species